GAGAGAGAGAGAUGCUACUAUGCACUGUCUCCUUAGUGGAAUAAUUGAGUCUAGGACUUCUAUUGACAUAUGUGUGGCACAUAGGAUAUUAACAUGCAAUUACCAACUUACUUGUGUUAUUUUGUUUUAUAUGUUUGCACUUUAUUUUACAUGUUAACAGACCCUCCAUUCAAUUUCAUAUAUUUCUAUUUAUCUGGAUGGACAAUGUUAGGUUCAGUGAAGCCAGAUAACAAAAAGAUAUCCUAGGUAUGUUGAACUUGCUAUUUUACACGUUAACAGACCCUCCAUUCAAUUUCAUAUAUUUCUAUUUGGAGUGUAAAAGGCAGGAGAUCAGCUGGGGGUUUAUAAGCUGUGAGCCUGCGCUGCAUUCUUCAGUUGGCAGUUAACGUAUAAUCAGUAAAGCCACGGAGGAUCAGCAGACUCACACUCUUUUUUUCCAUCUGUUCUUUCAGAGUUUCCAGAGGACCAGAGUAAAGAGCUUGUGAGACACCAGAGAAGACAGCUGUGGAUGUGUCGCCCACCUCGAAUACUUUUGCUGGGGUUUCACAUGUCUGCUUUCGGAGUCUCUAACUCUACUUACCAAGACUGGCUUUCACACUGAAACAUAGUUUUUUCCGUACAAAGGACACACAUGGUGCUGGGUCUUUCCAUUUAUUGAAAAUUUAAUAAAUUAAUUUAGAAUUUGUAUUAAUCAGUGAUCACAUACACAGCCUGGCCUAAUAAAUGUCAGAUGUGUAACAUAGUAUGAAAAAAUAUGUGAUAUCAGUACAAACAAUUGUGAACAAGAAGUAAAAAAUCCAAGACACUUUGA